AGAGUUUGAUCAUGGCUCAGGACGAACGCUGGCGGCGUGCCUAACACAUGCAAGUCGAGCGAAGCAUAUCUAAGUGAAGUUUUCGGACAGAACGAAGAUAUAUCUUAGCGGCGGACGGGUGAGUAACGCGUGAGCAACCUGCCUUUCACAAAGGGAUAGCCUCGGGAAACUGGGAUUAAUACCAUAUAAAACUUACCUUUCGCAUGAAAGGAAAGUCAAAGCGAUAAGCGGUGAAAGAUGGGCUCGCGUCCUAUUAGCUAGUUGGUGAGGUAACGGCUCACCAAGGCGACGAUAGGUAGCCGGCCUGAGAGGGUGAACGGCCACACUGGAACUGAGACACGGUCCAGACUCCUACGGGAGGCAGCAGUGGGGGAUAUUGCACAAUGGAGGAAACUCUGAUGCAGCGACGCCGCGUGAGUGAAGAAGGCCUUCGGGUCGUAAAGCUCUGUCCUAGGGGAAGAUAAUGACGGUACCCUAGGAGGAAGCCCCGGCUAACUACGUGCCAGCAGCCGCGGUAAUACGUAGGGGGCGAGCGUUGUCCGGAAUUACUGGGCGUAAAGAGUUCGUAGGCGGUUUGAUAAGUCAGAUGUGAAAGGCGUAGGCUUAACCUAUGUAAGCAUAUGAAACUGUCAGACUUGAGGUAAGGAGAGGAAAGUGGAAUUCCUAGUGUAGCGGUGAAAUGCGUAGAUAUUAGGAGGAAUACCAGUGGCGAAGGCGACUUUCUGGACUUAAACUGACGCUGAGGAACGAAAGCGUGGGGAGCAAACAGGAUUAGAUACCCUGGUAGUCCACGCCGUAAACGAUGAGUGCUAGGUGUCGGGUAGAAAUAUUCGGUGCCGCAGCUAACGCAAUAAGCACUCCGCCUGGGGAGUACGUACGCAAGUAUGAAACUCAAAUGAAUUGACGG
rnacentral:rRNA from 1 species